AGCAGCCGCGGUAAUUCCAGCUCCAAUAGCGUAUAUUAAAGUUGUUGCAGUUAAAAAGACUCGUAGUUGAAUUUCGAGAUCAAAUUGUUGGUCGUGCCUCGGUACGUACUGGCAUUAUUGAUUUCUCCCUUCUGAAGAACCUUGAUGUCAUUAAUUUGGUGUCUUGGGGAAUCAGGACCGUUACUUUGAAAAAUUAGAGUGUUUAAAGCAGGCUCACGCUUGAAUACAUUAGCAUGGAAUAAUGAAAUAGGACGUUUGAUUCUAUUUUGUUGGUUUCUAGGAUCGACGUAAUGAUUAAUAGGGAUAGUUGGGGGCAUUAGUAUUCAAUUGUCAGAGGUGAAAUUCUUGGAUUUAUUGAAGACUAACUACUGCGAAAGCAUUUGCCAAGGAUGUUUUCAUUAAUCAAGAACGAAAGUCAGGGGAUCGAAGACGAUCAGAUACCGUCGUAGU
rnacentral:rRNA from 1 species